UCCGCCAUCCUUAUGAUGCUGUUCUUCUUCUUCGAUAGAAUUGUAAAAUACAGGAGAAUCCCGGGAAAAACGGGAAGAUUGACAGCAAUUCUGCUGAGCUGUAGUGAAGCGAAGCCAAAUGGAAAGAACAAAAAGCAAAAACAAGUUGUUCCUGCCUUAGAGUGUGACGUACGGGCCGGGAGGAUCAAUUUGCCUGAGUUUAUUGUUAAGUGUCCCGCAAACUGCAGAGAGACCAAAGAGAGGGUGUACGGGACAGCAGUGUUUGCUUCUAUAUCCAGUAUCUGCAAUGCAGCCAUUCACAGUGGGGUCAUCACGAACUCAGGAGGAAAGGUCAUUGUGAAGAAGAUGGCAGGACAGGCCAUCUACAAAGGCAGCUUCUCCAAUGGUGUCCGAUCUCUGUCCUUACCCAACUGGAGAGAGUCGUUUUCAGUCUCAGUGGGUAAACCAAAGAAAGGAGUGAUCUAUCCAUCCACUCUGGACUACACCGCCUCACGACCAACAGCUGUGAAAACAGAUGUUUCCAAAGCAGCACCAGAGUCCACACCGUGGCCCGUAGUAGCUGCAGAACUCAGCUUUACUACAACAUCCUCAGCUCCACCCACAACCACAACAGUGGCAUUUCCCAGCACCACCACUGUCUUGCUCAUCACCACAACAGCCAAGCCACGAGUCACAGUGCAUAAAGUUCGAGAGGCAGGCACCAGUCAUCCGUAUUUCAGCUCUGUAGCACGUGUGCAGAGAUCAGAAACCAGCAGCACCGUCCGCAGACAGCCACAGGUUCCCUCAGGUUCAGCUUAUAGUCGUGUUCAGUUGUCGAAGCACACAGCACAGUCUAAUCCAGCAUUUGCAAGAAGAGAUUGGCCACACCCUGCAAACACGGACUGGUUCUCUGGCAGCAGGAGACCAACAGAUAGUAGUCACUCUCUGUCAAGCGCUGGCUAUAAAUGGGGCAGGGGGAGCACUGUAGAUUCUACAGCGCAUGAGCCAGGGCCUGACAACACAGAACACAAGCACUGGUUGCAUAACUUUGGACAGUACUCCCCUGAAUCAGAUGAGCACAAGCUUCUGUCUGAGACAAGCCACACCAGAGAGGCACCAACUGAAUCAUGGGAGCCUGAUUCAAACCCGUUGGAGUCAGGCAUCAGUGUUCGAGGGCAGGAACCAGCAGCCAGAGCGCCCGAGAUCAUGACUCAAGGAGAUCCAACCUGUAAAGUGGAUGUGGCAUUCCUCAUGGAUGGCAGCUGGAGCAUUGGCAAGCGGCGCUUUAAGAUUCAGAAAGAUUUUCUGGUGGAGGUCUCUCAGGUCAUGAAUGGGGGUAUAGCUGGACCCAUGAUGGGCAUCAUUCAGUAUGGGUAAUAACGUGCUUUUCUUUCUUUGGUAUUCAUGAUUUUGAGUGCAUUUGAUGAAGGUAUUGUCACCUAUAUAACAUUUAACAUGAUAUUAUUACAAUCACGUACUGUUAAAUGUGUGUGUUGCUUUGAAACGAUUUUGAAGAUUUGAGUCUCAUGCUUCGUGUUGAGCUCUUUGUCCUCUGCUCUGCACACAUCAAUGCAGAAACAGACACUGGCCUUUUCUUCUGCUGUUUCCUCUCAAGGUAAACUCUCCGGUUGCUAUGUUCAUGAGAAUAGAUUUUGGAUUUUGAUUGCAGACUUGACAAAUCUGAGCUCAGUUUGUGAUCUUUUCUGAAACUCAGAUGUUAUGAGAUGUCUGGUUCUUUUUCUCAGGAGAAAUAUCUGAGAUACAGAUAAGUCUUAGAGGUGUCAUAAGAUUUGCUUUCACUUUUACAACUUCAAGGGAUAGUCCACCCAAAAACAACCAUACUCACCAUCAAGUUGCAGUUUCAAACGGUUGAACACAAAGAUAUUUGGAAAAAUGUUAGAAACUGACAGUUCUGAGGCACCAUUGACUACCAUAGUAGGAAACACCUUCUACUUGGGGCACCUUACAUUUAAUUUUUUUCUACUAUGGUAGUCAAUAGGGUUGUGAUGAGACACUUCUCACGAGACACGACUAGAUUUUUUGACUAUUUUAAAGAAAUCCUCAACGAUGGAAUAUAUAGGGAAAAUUUGUAUUUUAUUCACCUUAAAAUGCAAAAAAUGCAGUCAUUAUAAAAUCAACUUGUACUUUAUGAAACACAUUAAACUUAUUAAACAAUAUGUAAACACUGCAAAAUGUUUUGUCACAAACUCAAAUGACAGACAGUAAUUGCACAAAAUUUAUGCUUUGUUUUCUCAACAGUCGUAGCUUUUAUAAAGAGCUGUGGUUGUUUUCUCUAUAUGCUUUUGCACAGUGCUGUGGACUGUAUCACGAAGCGAGGUGAACAAACACUGAGUUGAACAGUAACUUUUGAGUUGACAAAACUAGACAAACCCAACCUGGUUUAGAUCAAUUUCAGCUGUAGCACGACGCUUGGUAUAAACUUUCUCUGUCAACUCAGGUUUGAUCAGAGUUCGUGAGGCACGUGCACCCUGAAAGUGUGACAUGCGGCAAACAGCCAAUCACACGGAACAUGGAAAGCAUCAUCAGUUUGAUUGACUUCUCGUUUACAAUAAGAUCUUGUCAGGAAACGAGGUGGAAGAACCCAAGUGCAGGCAACGGCAGGGACGAUGCAGUGACAGAAUUCAGUCUGAAACAGUUUUCCAACUCCAAAGACUUGAAACCAGCCAUCAGUAAAAUAGUCCAGAAGGGUGGCCUUUCUAACGUGG